ACUGGUUCCUUUCACAUUACUUUUCAUGAAAACUUAACAUGAAAACUUUGGAAGGACUUAAACUUUCUCUCCUGUGGCUCUAGUUACCAUGGUUCUAGGAUGUUAUUUAUUCCAGUUGUCUCAGAAGGAUUUUUGGAGGUUAGUCUGAGAUACUAAUGAGGUCAAUCUGUGCCAAGAUUCACCUAUAUUACCUUGUGUAAAUGCAGCCUUGUAUUCUGUCUUUGCUUGCUGUUGAUCUGCACCCUCUACUUUCUUUAAUAUCCCAGAAUUCUGACUGCUGCCUCCAUAGUUCAAGCCCUCUGUGUUCCAUGAACAGGUUCCUGUCAGCACCAGGGCAGGGACAAAGUCUAGUUGAAUAUGAACAUUCAAUAUUCAAAACAGUUUUCUAUACCCCAGACUUACUUUUACAUUUGUUUACCAGAAGAAGGUCUUUCUAGUAUUAUGUGUUCUGUUUCAUAUAUCUUAGACUCAGUUUUACUGAAGAAAGUUUUAUGUAAUAUUAUCCACUCUGUCAUGGACUGCCACAACAUUUUCCUGUCAUAUUUGUUAACAGUUGGCUUCUAAAAACUUUUGAGUUGUUUUGUUAAGUGAUGUACACAUUUGCUUGAUCUACAUUGAUGAGCUUUGGGCAUUGGAUAUUUAUCCCUUAAACACUCACACGUUUUCCUAAGAUAAUGUUACCUACCCCUCAGAAGCCUGGUCCUCACUGAAGUGGUGAAGUCAGAACUGACCACUGCAAACAAGGCUCCUGAGGGUAGGUGCAGGAAAAGUUCGAGAUUCAAUAAUCUUCACUCUGGUUGUUUUCCUUACAGCUGCUGACAGUAAAUCUGUACCUAUCUAUACUGGAAAAAGCAUAACUAUUUAAAUUACUAAUGGCUUCUUUUCUUUGCUAUCAGAUUGCCAAAGCAUCUACCUCUGGUGGAGUAGAUGCAUUACCAUGUAGUACCAACAUUAGCAAGAGAUCCAUUCCAUUUCCUCCAGUGGAUUCAUGAGGCCAGAUACAACUUCAACAGUUUGGUUACCUUGAAGUGUUACAUAAAGGAAAAACUGUCAUUCAAGACUCACAAUCAUAAGAAAAAUCAAACCACGCAUUUUGGGCUCAACACCAACCACAGCAGUCUGGACACUGUAGUCAAUUUGAAUUCUCCAGGCAUCUCUCACAUGUGCUGAUGAUCAGUCACUUGAACUGUAUGUCAGUAACCUGUCACUGCCUCUUCUUUGCUUCCCACAGGCAUUGUUUUAUGGAGACAUUGAGUCCUGGUUGCCUUGGAGAUUCUCUCUAUCAUUCCAAAGGCAAAUAGACUGCCAAGUAUUUUGACCAAUACAAAGCCAUCACACUUAACUGGGACAAAUAAAUUUCUUUCAAAAUUAUGGAGCA
rnacentral:lncRNA from 1 species